rnacentral:lncRNA from 1 species
GGUGGAAGAAAUGUCUCCACCCCUUGCUGAUCUCACAGUUGCUGGGUAUAGAUGAUGCAGCUUUGGGGCAUGGCAUUGCCAUCACCAAGACGGGCAAAUCACAAAGGGAACGCAGUGAGUGAGUAGAAGAGAUUUUGGACUUAGUGGGUGAGGACAUCCAAGAGAGCAAGGUACAUGACGACGUGCAGGAAAGAUGAGCCAAGUAAAGAAGAGACUAGAACAACGCUGUGCUAGACUUUCCAGGCUCUGGGGACAGCUGAGGCUAGAACGAUGAGAAAGAGAGAGGAGUGAGCCAGAAGAGGAGAGAGACAAGGGGAAGGGGAGUCUGCCGAGGAAGGAUGAAGACAGAGGGAAGCAUAGUUGGGAAGGAGAAGCGCUAUAAAACCCAGGAGCAAAGCAGACUGGGCUUGUAGCAGAAGGCAGAAUAGCUUGGCAGCUAUGUGACAGACAUGAUGCUGAGCUUGGCUACGUCACUGACACCGUGACUUCAGGUUUCCAGCCCUGUGACAGACAUCUAAAAUAAACAGCAUGCAUAGAGGAAAGGUGCUGCGGGAGCCACAGGUUACUGUGCAGAUGUGGCUAAGUCCAAGAACCACACGAUACACAACCAGUCCAGCAAAUGGCACAGAAAUGGCAUCAAGAAACCCAGGUCACAAAGAUAUAAAUAUCUUAAGGGGGCUGACCCCAAGUUCCUGAGGAACAUGCGCCUUGCCAAGAAGCACAACAAGAAAGGCCUGAAGAAGAUGCAGGGCAACAAUGCAAAGGCAGUGAGUGCGCACGCAGAGGUCAUCAAGGCCCUGGUGAAGCCUCAGGCCAUCGAGCCCAAGAUGCCAAAGGGCCCAGCCACAGACUCAGCGGGCUGGCUUUCAUCACUCACCCCAAGCUUGGGAAGCAGAUUUGAAGCUACAUGGCCAAGGGUGUAGGCUCUGCCAACUAAAGCCCAAGGCAGAGGCCACAGCUCCAGCUAAGGGCCAGGCUUUAGCUCCAGCCCAGGCUCGCAAAGGUGCGCAGGCCCCUGUGAAGGUCCCAUGGAAAAGGCUCCUGCCAGUGUGAAGACAGAUGGACUGCUGUGACACACCUACCUAUACACUGUUUGCAGAUGACCAGUGACCUAUGCUGUUUUUACAAAUAAACUUGAGGCAAGAUCUAACACACACACACACAUACACACACACACACACACACACACACACACACACACACGCACACACGCACGCACGCACACAUGCACACACGCACACACACAUUUAUUUUGGAGAAAAGGUCUCACCAUGCAACCCAGGAAAGUCUGGAACUCACUAUGUACUCCAGACUGGCUGUGAGCUUAUGAAACUCCUGCCUCAGCACCUUGAACACUGUGACUAAAGAUGUGCACUAUGAAGUUUUAAUUCUCUCAGCUGGUUUUCAGCAAGCGUUCACAAUGAGUUUCACUGUGGGUGUGGACUGCAUACACAACACUGUUUUCUGUAAAAUCUUGAUGAUUAAAAAUAAAAGCAUAUAACUCCUCACUAGAAAGAUUUCAGGCCAGCACUGGAAAUGUUUUGUUUGUUCCUUCGCUGGCUUUUGUUUUUACUUAGAUCUAUGAUUAAAAGGAAGUGAAUGUUGAUGAAAAACCUGACUCAGGGCUUCACUGAGCAGCUACAGUGAAUUCAUAGAAUAGUCAUUGUCUGCGUGCUGGCCGCGUUUGUGCAGUCACUGUAGAAUGACGACGGUACACCCCUAACAAUGUUCACAAGAGAAACAGUUCUGAGGGGUUUCUUUCGUAGUUCCUGAAUCAGACAGCCAUGUCCCAAUAGCAGUACUUUAACUCCUGUGCCUUGGUGCUGGGGGCAAAGAGAGUGGCCCUCUCGGAACACCAGCUCGUGGACUGCAUCACACCUGGUCUGAAGAUGAACUUGGAAGGCGCUGCAUUUGACGUCACGUGGAGCCAAGCGUCUACCACUGCCUCUCUCAACUGUGGCUGGCUGUUCAAAAUCUUUACUUCUGACUUAGCGGCUCCAGUUCUCAUGGUUCUAAGUCGUGGGAUCUCCAUUGUGCGAGAGAUCAGGUAUCCCCUGAAAGGGACUUGACAAUAAAUGUGGUAUUCACUGUUAAUGUUCUUUUCGCUGGAUCUCCUCCAACUUGGUGCCAAAGAAUAUUUGAGAGUUGUUGGGCUGUGUAUCUAAAGGUUUCUGUUGGGCCUGCGAUUUGUAUCAGAAAUAAUUUAUAUUGAAGAUGGAGAAACACAGACACUAAAGACACUUUUGAGACUGAUUCAAGAGAAAGGCAUUUUGAAAUGCCCCAUGUCCUGAAUCUUCACUUAGUGCACAUGUGCUGUGUGCAUGCCUCAUGCAGCCAUGCGCUAGGGAGCUCUCUGGGUACCUAGCACCCGGCACCCGGCAUCCAUCAUCCAUCAUCCAUCAUCCAACGAGGCCAGCAUCACGGUGUGCCCUUGAUGUGCCUUCAAACCAUGCAAAGGACUCAGAUUCACCUACAGCCUCUGGCUCCCCCUCUGAAAGGGCACAAAGAAUUCUUCCUAGAGCAAAGUCACUCCUCUCCUGCUCUGCCUUGGAGAGAGGUCAGAGGUCACGAUGGUCAGAGGCUCUUCUUUCCUUCAGUCUGUUCAGGUGUCAGUGUUCUGGCUGAAGCACCCCACCCCCCCUGUUCUCGCUUUUGUCACAUAUCUCUCUAGGAUAUUUGCCUUUAAAAUCUUGACCACUUCUUAUAUUGUCU